GACGAACGCUGGCGGCGUGCUUAACACAUGCAAGUCGAACGGAAAGGCCCUGCUUUUGUGGGGUGCUCGAGUGGCGAACGGGUGAGUAACACGUGAGUAACCUGCCCUUGACUUUGGGAUAACUUCAGGAAACUGGGGCUAAUACCGGAUAGGAGCUCCUGCUGCAUGGUGGGGGUUGGAAAGUUUCGGCGGUUGGGGAUGGACUCGCGGCUUAUCAGCUUGUUGGUGGGGUAGUGGCUUACCAAGGCUUUGACGGGUAGCCGGCCUGAGAGGGUGACCGGCCACAUUGGGACUGAGAUACGGCCCAGACUCCUACGGGAGGCAGCAGUGGGGAAUAUUGCACAAUGGGCGGAAGCCUGAUGCAGCAACGCCGCGUGCGGGAUGACGGCCUUCGGGUUGUAAACCGCUUUCGCCUGUGACGAAGCGUGAGUGACGGUAAUGGGUAAAGAAGCACCGGCUAACUACGUGCCAGCAGCCGCGGUGAUACGUAGGGUGCGAGCGUUGUCCGGAUUUAUUGGGCGUAAAGGGCUCGUAGGUGGUUGAUCGCGUCGGAAGUGUAAUCUUGGGGCUUAACCCUGAGCGUGCUUUCGAUACGGGUUGACUUGAGGAAGGUAGGGGAGAAUGGAAUUCCUGGUGGAGCGGUGGAAUGCGCAGAUAUCAGGAGGAACACCAGUGGCGAAGGCGGUUCUCUGGGCCUUUCCUGACGCUGAGGAGCGAAAGCGUGGGGAGCGAACAGGCUUAGAUACCCUGGUAGUCCACGCUGUAAACGGUGGGUACUAGGUGUGGGGUCCAUUCCACGGGUUCCGUGCCGUAGCUAACGCUUUAAGUACCCCGCCUGGGGAGUACGGCCGCAAGGCUAAAACUCAAAGGAAUUGACGGGGCCCCGCACAAGCGGCGGAGCAUGCGGAUUAAUUCGAUGCAACGCGUAGAACCUUACCUGGGUUUGACAUGGAUCGGGAGUGCUCAGAGAUGGGUGUGCCUCUUUUGGGGUCGGUUCACAGGUGGUGCAUGGCUGUCGUCAGCUCGUGUCGUGAGAUGUUGGGUUAAGUUCCGCAACGAGCGCAACCCUUGUUCACUGUUGCCAGCACGUUAUGGUGGGGACUCAGUGGAGACCGCCGGGGUCAACUCGGAGGAAGGUGGGGAUGACGUCAAGUCAUCAUGCCCCUUAUGUCCAGGGCUUCACGCAUGCUACAAUGGCUGGUACAGAGAGUGGCGAGCCUGUGAGGGUGAGCGAAUCUCGGAAAGCCGGUCUCAGUCCGGAUUGGGGUCUGCAACUCGACCUCAUGAAGUCGGAGUCGCUAGUAAUCGCAGAUCAGCAACGCUGCGGUGAAUACGUUCCCGGG
rnacentral:rRNA from 1 species